rnacentral:lncRNA from 12 species
UUUUGUCUAUGCAGACUGUUAUUUGAGACUGUGUAAGUCUACUGAAUUUUGCAUAGAGGGCUCAUUCUGGACUAGAGCUUUAAAAUUAUCUUCCUGUGACUAGAUAAAAAUGCUCCUACAGGGUUUUUUUCCUUCUUUCUCUUUUUGAUAUAUUUGGUUUGGAGGUCAUGCAACUUUUUUUGAGUCCAUUUCUUUACAUUUCACUCUGAUUUAUUACUGACAAAUUCCGUCCCAAACAGUUUUUAUCUCCGUCUAAGUGGAAAACAGCUCUCUUGAGUUCAGCCUGGCCUGCCUCUGCAGAGGUAAUCUCGUUGACUCAGAAUGUGUUGCAAAGCAGGCAUGAACCACUCAUUGUUUGUGGUCUCUCAUGAGGAGAGCCCAGGCAUGUGGGAUGCCACCAGCAACACUGGGUUGGUGUCGCAAGUAUUAUUUGUUCUACAGUUUAAGUGUGUAAGAGAAGACAAGCAGAAAGUUCAAUGGAGGGAAAAUAUUGCUGUGGUGGGGAGGGACGGUGGUUACUUGGUUUGGCUUUCAGUUGUCCCUUUAAACAAAAUUCCACUAAUCUUUAUAAAUCAUGGUGGAGAUGGCAGUGCAGAGAUAAAGAGCUCUGCGUGGUGCUCAUGCUCGUCCCGGCCUAGCAAGUGGCAGAAAAGCAAAGAGGCUGCUUCCCUUGCAGUGAGAUGGAAAUAUCUCCUUUGUUUCAACCCAGUCCAGCUUCCCCCAAGCAGCUCUGAGGAGGCAGCUACUUUCCUACAAGCACUUGCUCCUUGCUGGCAGCAGGGGAUUGUUUAAACUUUUGCACAAAGCUGGCACAGUUUGAAGCUAACAGGCAUGACCCUGAGGGUGAGAAAUAGAUGGUGUUUGUUAAGACAAUCUCAUCUCCCCCACUGCUGUGGUUCAGGAGGGAAGCUCUCACAUGCUAUUAACUUCACAGUGAAAUUGAAAGAGUUUUGAUCCUGCUUCUACAUAAACCUUGCCCAUGCUGAGGCCACACCAGCUAAGAGCUGUUACGUGGGAUCUGACUUUUCCUCCACAUCCACUGGACAUGCAACCCACUCCAAAGACUGGGGCUGUGCACACCCUGCCCAGGUUUUCCUUUGCUGUGUCACCCCCAGUUAAUGGGGUGCAAUGUAUCAGUGCUACACAUCUCCUCAUGCACUGUUCCUUUUGCUCUAAACCUGAAUUUUACUUUUUCCUGCUGCAUUGUUUUGCGUAGGCAGCAUCUGGUCAGGUUUCUGUUGCAUCAGUGGGUUUGCUGGUAUUGGGUUUUACUCAAACAAUGUGUUCUGCCACAAAGGAGCAGGUUGGAGCAGUUUAGAGCUGUCCAGCCUGGCCACGCAGGAACCAGUGACGAAUAAAGCUCC